rnacentral:rRNA from 1 species
GACGAACGCUGGCGGCGUGCUUAACACAUGCAAGUCGAACGGAAAGGCCCUGUUGUUGUGGGAUGAUCGAGGGGCGAACGGGUGAGUAACACGUGAGUAACCUACCCUUGACUUUGGGAGAACUUAAGGUAACUGGGGUUAAUACCAGAUAGGAUCCCCUGCUGGAUGGUGGGGGUGGGAUAGUUUGGGCGGUUGGGGUUGGACGCGCGGCUUACCAGCUUGUUGGUGGGGGGGUGCCUUACCAAGGCUUUGACGGGUGGCCGGCCUGGGAGGGCGACCGGCCACAUUGGGACUGAGGGACGCCCCAGACGCCAACGGGAGGCAGAGGGGGGAAAUAUUGCACAAUGGGCGGAAGCCUGUUGAAGAAACCCCGGGGGCGGGAUGACGGCUUUCGGGUUGAAAACCGCUUUAGCAUGAGACGAAGCGUGUGUGACGGUAACGGGUAAAGAAGCACCGGCUAACUACGUG